rnacentral:rRNA from 2 species
ACUCGAGAGCAUGAAGCCGGAAUCGCUAGUAAUCGUAGAUCAGCCAUGCUACGGUGAAUACGUUCCCGGGUCUUGUACUCACCGCCCGUCACACCAUGGGAGUUGAUUUCACUCGAAGCCGGAAUACUAAACUAGUUACCGUCCACAGUGGAAUCAGCGACUGGGGUGAAGUCGUAACAAGGUAACCGUAGGAGAACCUGCGGUUGGAUCACCUCCUUUCUAG